rnacentral:rRNA from 1 species
GAGAUGGAUCUCUCUCAGCAAUGAGCCUGCACACAGGUGCUGCAUGGCUGUCGUCAGCUCGUGUCGUGAGAUGUUGGGUUAAGUCCCGCAACGAGCGCAACCCUCGCCUUUAGUUGCCAGCAUUAAGUUGGGCACUCUAAAGGGACUGCCGGUGAUAAGCCGCGAGGAAGGUGGGGAUGACGUCAAGUCCUCAUGGCCCUUACGGGCUGGGCUACACACGUGCUACAAUGGUGGUGACAGUGGGAUGCAAAAGGGCGACCUCUAGCAAAUCUCCAAAAGCCAUCUCAGUUCGGAUUGCACUCUGCAACUCGAGUGCAUGAAGUUGGAAUCGCUAGUAAUCGUGGAUCAGCAUGCCACGGUGAAUACGUUCCCGGGCCUU